rnacentral:piRNA from 1 species
UGCCAGUGUAAUAGUGCCGUGAACAU